rnacentral:rRNA from 1 species
AUGGUAGGAUCAGAAGUGUACUCUUCUGAGGUCAAGAAAACUGAGGUGCUGAUGGAAAAUUUCCGUAGAGCUAUAGGCUUGCGUAUAAAGGAAAACAAAGAAGUCUAUGAAGGAGAGGUUACGGAGCUUUCCCCAGAAGAAUCUGAGAGUUCAAAUGGUGGAUAUGGGAAAAGCAUUAGCCAUGUAGUAAUUGGCCUGAAGACUGUAAAAGGGACUAAACAACUAAAGUUAGAUCCUACAAUUUAUGAUGCUUUAAUCAAGGAAAAGGUGGCAGUGGGUGAUGUUAUAUACAUCGAAGCUAACAGCGGUGCAGUGAAAAGAGUUGGCAGAUGUGAUGCUUUUGCUACAGAAUACGAUCUUGAAGCAGAGGAGUAUGUGCCAAUUCCCAAAGGGGAAGUCCACAAGAAAAAAGAAAUAGUGCAGGACGUUACACUGCAUGACCUUGACGCCGCAAAUGCCCAGCCUUAA